rnacentral:lncRNA from 1 species
AAAGGCUGAAUAAAAUAUAUCAACAACGGAAGGGAAGAAAGGGGGUCUCCAGGUGUGAGAUAGGUCAAGGGAACUCAAAAGCAUGACAUGAAUAUAAGCCCAAAUGACUAAGGACCAGGGGGUCUCCUAUGGGGCAGCACCAUAGAUGUAUUAAAGAAAAGACUGGUCCUCCCAGUCUGGUGGGGAGACAUAGAAGUGAACACACAAUGAUAAUGCAGUGAAUUGACAGAAGAUGCUCAGUCUUUCCAGCAGC